rnacentral:rRNA from 1 species
UGAUUCAGACCUUGGUGAGUGGCGGAACGGGUGAGGUAACACGUGGGUAACCUGCCCCGAAAAAGUGGGGGAUAACAUCUGGAAACACGGUGCUAAUACCGCAUAACAACUACUUUCACAUGAUCGUAGCUUGAAAGAUGGCUCUGCUAUUCGCUUUUGGAUGGACCCGCGGCGUAUUAGCUAGUUGGUGAGGUAAUAGGCUCACCAAGGCAAUGAUACGUAGCCGACCUGAGAGGGUAAUCGGCCACAUUGGGACUGAGACACGGCCCAAACUCC